UACAGAGGUGGCAAGCGUUGUUCGGAAUUACUGGGCGUAAAGGGCGCGUAGGCGGCCUUCUAAGUCAGACGUGAAAUCCCCCGGCUUAACCUGGGAACUGCGUCUGAUACUGGGAGGCUAGAGUAUGGGAGAGGGAUGUAGAAUUCCAGGUGUAGCGGUGAAAUGCGUAGAUAUCAGGAAGAACACCGGUGGCGAAGGCGGUUCUCUGGGCCUGUACUGACGCUGAGGAACGAAAGCGUGGGGAGCGAACAGG
rnacentral:rRNA from 1 species